AGUGAACGCUGGCGGCGUGCUUAACACAUGCAAGUCGAACGAGAACGGAUUAUAGCUUGCUAUAAUUGUCAGCUAAGUGGCGCACGGGUGAGUAAUAUAUAGGUAAUGUGCCCUAGAGAGGGGGAUAACAGAUGGAAACGUCUGCUAACACCCCAUAUGCCUUUAAGACUUAAGUCUGCAAGGGAAAUAUUUAUAGCUCUAGGAUCAGCCUGUACAGUAUCAGCUAGUUGGUGAGGUAAUGGCUCACCAAGGCAAUGACGCUUAACUGGUUUGAGAGGAUGAUCAGUCACACUGGAACUGAGACACGGUCCAGACUCCUACGGGAGGCAGCAGUGGGGAAUAUUGCACAAUGGACGAAAGUCUGAUGCAGCAACGCCGCGUGGAGGAUGACACAUUUCGGUGCGUAAACUCCUUUUAUAUGGGAAGAUAAUGACGGUACCAUAUGAAUAAGCACCGGCUAACUCCGUGCCAGCAGCCGCGGUAAUACGGAGGGUGCAAGCGUUAUUCGGAAUCACUGGGCGUAAAGAGCGUGUAGGCGGGUAUAUAAGUCAGAAGUGAAAUCCAAUAGCUUAACUAUUGAACUGCUUUUGAAACUGUAUACCUAGAAUGUGGGAGAGGUAGAUGGAAUUUCUGGUGUAGGGGUAAAAUCCGUAGAGAUCAGAAGGAAUACCGAUUGCGAAGGCGAUCUACUGGAACAUUAUUGACGCUGAGACGCGAAAGCGUGGGGAGCAAACAGGAUUAGAUACCCUGGUAGUCCACGCCCUAAACGAUGCACACUAGUUGUUGUGAGGCUAGACCUUGCAGUAAUGCAGUUAACACAUUAAGUGUGCCGCCUGGGGAGUACGGUCGCAAGAUUAAAACUCAAAGGAAUAGACGGGACCCGCACAAGCGGUGGAGCAUGUGGUUUAAUUCGACGAUACACGAGAACCUUACCUGGACUUGACAUAGUA
rnacentral:rRNA from 1 species